AUGAUCUUCUUUCUUAUUUCUGUAUUCGUUAUCUUUGGGUAUUUGGGGGGCAAUCUCUUUUGGGUUGGUUAAAUAAGAUUUUGUCACCUGUUUUUGUCGCUAUUUCUGUUGUUUUGUUUGUGAUUGUGUUAAAAUCAUAUAUUUCUACAUGGUAUCAGAGCUCUUGAGCUCUUGAUCCGAUCUUAUUUCCGCUGUUGUUUUCUGAUCUGGUUUGAUUGUUCUUGGUGUGUAGGUCUGCUUCAAGUUGCAGAUCUGUACUUGUUGUUGAGGGAGAUCUUCUGGAUCUUGGGAGGUUGUUGAUAUUCAAACCCUAGCUAGGGUUUCGUAUAUCUUGUUGAAGAACUGUGUUGGUCUCUAAACCCUUGAAGGUUUAGGGCAAACUGACCAGUUUGUUUGUGCUUCAUAUUGUAUUAAAAACCUCAGAUCUGUUUCAGAUCUGGUGUUUUUUGGAUAGCUUGCACCCACUGUGAGAUCUUUCUCUCCCCUCUCUUUAUUUCUGUUGUUGGUUGAUUAGUUGAAGUCGGGGUAGUGAGGACCGGCAUUUGUUUGUUUGUUUGAUUUCUUAUCUGCUAUCAUUGUUGUUUCAAAGUGGUGUUCCACUAAAUUUUUGGUCUGAUUGUGUGUUGACUGCUGUUUAUCUUAUUAACAGGUUACCUUCCUCUGUUUUGUUAGGUAAAAGCCCCUAUGAAUUAAUGUUUGGUUUUAAACCCUCUUUUGCUCAUCUUAGAGUGUUUGGUUGUUUGUGCUUUAGUACUAUAUUAAAUAAUUCAGAUAAACUAUCUUUUAAUGCUGAGAAAUGUGUUUUGAUUGGUUAUUCUAAUACAAAGAAAGGUUAUAAACUGUGGAGUUUAGAUAACAAAAAGGAAUUUUAUUCUAGAGAUGUAAAAUUUUAUGAAAAUGUUUUUCCUUUUAAAUCAAAUAAGUCAGUUAACCAAGAUGUUAGUUUAACUGAAAACUUAAAUCAUCUGAAUUUUUUUGAUAUUGUUGAGGUAUUAACAACCAAACCUAUAGUUCCCAAUGAUGAAGAGGGGAGUAAUCAAACUCAUGAGGUUACUGGU
rnacentral:lncRNA from 1 species